AGGGCUGCAGGAGGGAGAAAACCAUAGCCACAAGUCCUGUAAAUGACGAGCUAUUCCCUGUAGAAGCCAUCAUGUUGUGUGUGGGUCAUCCAUAAAGCUCCGUGCACUGACUACCAUCUAAUUUUGGGAGCUGGCAUGGCAGAGCUUGUUCUGGCUAUCAAGGCCGGGGUGAGGCCAAGGUGGGAGGUGAGCAGCAAUUUUACUGCAGCAGUCGGUGUUCUGGCAUGGGCUCCAAGUGCCUGAGCUGCCCUUUCUCAGACUAUUGCCAUCAGUAUACGAGUCACACAUGGAAAAACACAGUCACAAAGUCACAGGCUCUUUUGUGUCUACCUUGGGGUAAGGUAAAGGGAUUUUUUGUGACCAUUACUUGGGGCAGAAAAAAAACGUACUAAAAUAUCUGUGGUUUGGCUAUGACUUGCAUGGACAUAAAUUUGUUUUGACUUAUCUCUGUAGAUUAGGUCUUAUCUCUUUUGUUUUUCCAUCACUUCCAGGGGCUGGAACAUAAGUCUUAUGAGGAAUGGCUGAGGGAGCUGGGGUUCUCCUGAAAAGCUACAAAAAUACAUUAGUGAAUGCAUGUAUGACAGAAAACAUCUUUUUCUUCUGUGUGACUCCGUGUUUACUGCAUCACCCAGAGAGAUGGAGUGAACAACAGAAUCAUCUGGCAUUGAGAAAAGCAGCUGAAAAAUUGUUUCUUCAAAUGCCUUCAGUGCAUGCUUCAUCCCAUUUGCUCUGCUGAUAGCACUGUUAAAUGCGUGGUUACUCAGCUAUGGACAACUGUUCCAAUAUUUGACAACCCCUUCCAUGAAGAGAUUUUUCCUAAUGUCUAACUGGAGGAUUCAUCCUAAGCAGCAACCAAUGUAGUCACUAUAAAUCUGCCUUCCUGUACUACAUAUGGUUCAUGCACUACUCACUGCCUCCUGUGAUGGAAGGAAGCUCCCUGUGCCACCUCACUAGCACACAAUGGACUCUUCCUAAACUGUUCAUAAUGGUGUGUUUGAGAACACCGCUGGGGAGACAGAACAGUUUGCUCAGACUUCUGGGUCUUUUACUUGGAUUUUUUUAGAAAACAGAACAAGUAUAGUGCCUGAGAAAGGAGACUAUGAAACAGGAACAAAAUGUUUCAGGUAAGAAUGCUAAUAACAGGAAAAUGCAAUUACUCCUGUCUUUGUUCUGAGUUCCUCUUGGAAGUUGGAACCUGUGAUCUGAAACGUUGUAAGGGUGGGAAGCUUCAGCCAUGGCUGAUGCCCACAGGAACUGAACCCUGAUCAGCUGAAAUGCUGGCAUAAUGCCAAGUACUGCCAGAAAGGGAAUCCAAAAUUCCAGAUUAGUGGGUAAUUUGAGUCUUAGGGUUUCUGUACCUCUCUUCUUCUUCCUUAAAAAAGUGGUAACAACUUCUUGUCCUCUGAAAAGGCCAGUGGACAAUUAAAGUCAUUGAUAGCUUUACUAUGCUGAAGAGCAGGGGCAAAAUAAAACACUGAAAGGCUAUUAAACAUAUGUGAUCUUUCCCAUGCAAUGAAAAAGAGUAAAGGUUCUGAAUAAAGGUUCUGACACUCAUAUGUCUAGGAUCAAAGUAUAUGAUUAGAGAACUAUGGAAUUAAGGACUGUGUUUCAGUGCUCAUCAGUAGGCAACAACAGAUACUAUUCCCACAUUUUCUGACCUGUGAAUACUUGUCUUUACAGUUUUAGCAUAUUAUUUUUUUCUCUGUGUGUAAUUUUCCAUGUGCUACAGGCUUAUUAUUUGUAUUAAAAUUGUCCUAGUAAGCGUUUGUGGCUCUUCACCUGUGGCCGCUUCCCUGUGAAGAAUUGGUCAUAAAAUACCAUGAGUGCCAUAUAGGAUCAAGAAAGGACACAAACCUCUCAUAACCUCACCCGGCUGCCAAUUUUCCCUCUGCUUCAGGGGAGAAAUGUACAAGAAAGUACCUUGUCCAUCUUUAGUAAGGUCUUUAAAUUAUCUCAUGGCUAGAAUGGACAUCAUUGGUAUUUUGUGUAGAAAAAACAUCACCACAGGCCCAGUGUUGUAUCAUGUCUCAGCAAGGAGUAGCAUUGAAGGUAAUAUUCAUGUUAAUUAAUAUUUCUUUGGAAUAUUAUUUUAGAAGUGAAUAAUACAUGCUGCUUUUUAAAAGUUUCUUUGAUUUUGGAAAAUUUUGUUUAUACAUAGAAAACUUAGAAUAGACAAUUCAGGUAUCUGUAUGUUUGUCCUUUGUAUAAUGGAUUCUCAGCUCAGGAAAAUUGUAACACAAAUUUUGCUGUACCUGACAAAAAAGGAUGAGCAGAAAGCUGAGAUUUUUUUUCUGGAAACAAUAUAUUUGAAUAGAUUUAAUUUUAACGGCAUAUUUUUGCUUUUAAUAUUGUACAUAUCAACAUUGUACUAUUAAAAUAUAGCAUAUUUCUAAAAACAUUUCAGUUUCAAUCAGGAUUUUUCAACAGAAAAUAUGUCCAGUUCACAUUUUCUAACUCCAUCAAAAUACGUUUGUAACAAAAUGUUGUCAGCAAAAAUGCACUUAAAAAAUAUAACUUUAUUGUGCUGCUUCCCUGGCUAACUCCAAUGAUAACAGUGUGAACCAUUGUCCUAGACAUAUUAAAGAAAUAAAAGUGCUUGGAGUGAAGCUGUAUACAGAUAAUUUAUGCCUAUGUCAGCUCUACCCAAAAGCAUUGAUAAUGCCAAAUUAAAAGAAAAAAAGGAACUUAUUAUAUUUUCCUAGUCUUUCACAUUUUUCAGGAUUUGGCCCAGGCUUCAUUCUGCAGGUGCAGCUGUAGGAGUGAACAGAGCUCCUGUGGACCCACUGACCUGUCUGUGUGCACUUGGCCCAUCAUGGGACCUUGUACCAGGAGGGUAUAAGGGUGAAGGUGCCACUCUUAGCUCCAUAAGCCAAGCAUCUGCCUCUUCUAUAUUUUAUCCAAAGAUUCUGUCUUGUAAAUGUAAAUGACCUGCAAAUAUUUAUUUUAUAUUAAGCUGCACAAUAUUCUUAUGUCUGCUUUAUUAAUGUAUUUUGUAGGUUAGGAAAGAUUAAGGUUAUAAGCUUUCAUAUAAUUUCUUGAUUGAGAUAACUGCAUAAAGUUCAU